rnacentral:rRNA from 1 species
UUUAAAUUUAGAGUUUGAUCCUGGCUCAGGACGAACGCUGGCGGCGUGCUUAACACAUGCAAGUCGAGCGAUGAAGCUUCCUUCGGGGAGUGGAUUAGCGGCGGACGGGUGAGUAACACGUGGGUAACCUGCCUCAAAGUGGGGGAUAGCCUUCCGAAAGGAAGAUUAAUACCGCAUAAUAUAAGAGAAUCGCAUGAUUUUCUUAUCAAAGAUUUAUUGUUUUGAGAUGGACCCGCGGCGCAUUAGCUAGUUGGUAAGGUAACGGCUUACCAAGGCAACGAUGCGUAGCCGACCUGAGAGGGUGAUCGGCCACAUUGGAACUGAGACACGGUCCAGACUCCUACGGGAGGCAGCAGUGGGGAAUAUUGCGCAAUGGGGGAAACCCUGACGCAGCAACGCCGCGUGGGUGAUGAAGGUCUUCGGAUUGUAAAGCCCUGUUUUCUAGGACGAUAAUGACGGUACUAGAGGAGGAAGCCACGGCUAACUACGUGCCAGCAGCCGCGGUAAUACGUAGGUGGCGAGCGUUGUCCGGAUUUACUGGGCGUAAAGGGUGCGUAGGCGGAUGUUUAAGUGGGAUGUGAAAUCCCCGGGCUUAACCUGGGGGCUGCAUUCCAAACUGGAUAUCUAGAGUGCAGGAGAGGAAAGCGGAAUUCCUAGUGUAGCGGUGAAAUGCGUAGAGAUUAGGAAGAACACCAGUGGCGAAGGCGGCUUUCUGGACUGUAACUGACGCUGAGGCACGAAAGCGUGGGUAGCAAACAGGAUUAGAUACCCUGGUAGUCCACGCCGUAAACGAUGGAUACUAGGUGUAGGGGGUAUCAACUCCCCCUGUGCCGCAGUUAACACAAUAAGUAUCCCGCCUGGGGAGUACGGUCGCAAGAUUAAAACUCAAAGGAAUUGACGGGGGCCCGCACAAGCAGCGGAGCAUGUGGUUUAAUUCGAAGCAACGCGAAGAACCUUACCUGGACUUGACAUCCCUUGCAUAGCCUAGAGAUAGGUGAAGCCCUUCGGGGCAAGGAGACAGGUGGUGCAUGGUUGUCGUCAGCUCGUGUCGUGAGAUGUUAGGUUAAGUCCUGCAACGAGCGCAACCCUUGUUAUUAGUUGCUACCAUUAAGUUGAGCACUCUAAUGAGACUGCCUGGGUAACCAGGAGGAAGGUGGGGAUGACGUCAAAUCAUCAUGCCCCUUAUGUCCAGGGCUACACACGUGCUACAAUGGUAGGUACAAUAAGACGCAAGACCGUGAGGUGGAGCAAAACUUAUAAAACCUAUCUCAGUUCGGAUUGUAGGCUGCAACUCGCCUACAUGAAGCUGGAGUUGCUAGUAAUCGCGAAUCAGAAUGUCGCGGUGAAUACGUUCCCGGGCCUUGUACACACCGCCCGUCACACCAUGAGAGCUGGUAACACCCGAAGUCCGUGAGGUAACCGUAAGGAGCCAGCGGCCGAAGGUGGGAUUAGUGAUUGGGGUGAAGUCGUAACAAGGUAGCCGUAGGAGAACCUGCGGCUGGAUCACCUCCUUUCUA